rnacentral:rRNA from 1 species
GCGGCAAAAGCUCAAAUUUGAAAUCUGGUACCUUCGGUGCCCGAGUUGUAAUUUGGAGAGGGCAACUUUGGGGCCGUUCCUUGUCUAUGUUCCUUGGAACAGGACGUCAUAGAGGGUGAGAAUCCCGUGUGGCGAGGAGUGCGGUUCUUUGUAAAGUGCCUUCGAAGAGUCGAGUUGUUUGGGAAUGCAGCUCUAAGUGGGUGGUAAAUUCCAUCUAAAGCUAAAUAUUGGCGAGAGACCGAUAGCGAACAAGUACAGUGAUGGAAAGAUGAAAAGAACUUUGAAAAGAGAGUGAAAAAGUACGUGAAAUUGUUGAAAGGGAAGGGCAUUUGAUCAGACAUGGUGUUUUGUGCCCUCUGCUCCUUGUGGGUAGGGGAAUCUCGCAUUUCACUGGGCCAGCAUCAGUUUUGGUGGCAGGAUAAAUCCAUAGGAAUGUAGCUUGCCUCGGUAAGUAUUAUAGCCUGUGGGAAUACUGCCAGCUGGGACUGAGGACUGCGACGUAAGUCAAGGAUGCUGGCAUAAUGGUUA